AACUAAGACACGUCACAACAUCAGAAGUACGAGUGAUUAAAAAAUUACCACACAACUCUUUUACAGCAAAGGCAAAGCUUUGUUUCGAUUCAUCGGAUUAGUUAAACCAGUGCGUUUGAAUAUUCAAGUCGCUAGGCUCUUCUGAGUAUUCAAAACACCUACUUGAGGAAAAAAAAAAGAGUCAUGACAUGCAAAAUUGCAUUAGGCUGACAACCAAUCGCUUGCUCCUGAAGACCAUGUUCAUGACACACACAGUAUUUUCAGCUCCAAGUCUGCAUUCCUUGGAAUAAGGACAUAAUGGGGAUAAUUGUACAGCCUUGUAAUUUUAUUACAGGACAUUUCUCACAGCCUGGGAGGAAAAAGGCUCUACAACAAGACUAGAGCACGUUCUUGUCGACUCCUGAAGGUGAAAACAGCCGUUUGAGUGAGACUUACCACCGGUCUAGGUUUGGAAUGAGCCACCAGACUGGCCAAGAAAUCCUCCUCGUUGAUCUGAUUGAUGACAUGAGCGUCGUAAGCCACCGUUAUCGACACUUCCUGCAUCAUCUUGGCCAAGUUUCUGCGAGGAGCACCGAGCCAGACACAGGUGAGCGCCGAGAAACAAGGGAGGGAGGAGGAGAGAGAGAGCUGACAAGUCUGCCGAGACCGGGACCAGUAGACAAGUUUCUUUACGGAUGAGAGCCGGCCCCUUGAGGCGGGAAAUAAACACAGGGGGGAAGGACCACAGAAGAACACGCUCUCUCUCUCUUUCUCUGAUUCUGUCUUCCAAGGAACGUGUAUAUCCUGCUCAGUUCUGCAAAAAAGACAACGCUCUGUGAAUUGCAAGGUUGUGACGGCUCUUAUCACCACGGUCUCAUGGGUAGCGCUGGUUACCGCUGGAAAUAUGUCGAGCGAGACAAGCGGAAAAGGUUGAAGAGGCAGGGGAAGUUUGGGUUUGUCAGACAAACCACAACGGGGUCUUCUAACUCCCCUGGUGGCUCUCGUUUGAUCUUCUUUAUCUUCUCAUCAGGCCUCCCAAGAGAAACGAAGCCUUGGUUUAUUAGGUCUGAUAUGGAGAUACGGCUUCCUGUCCUUGCUACACAGUCUCCUCCCUCUCAGCCGUCUCAUAAAACACAUCCACUCGACAUCCCAAAAGACAGAAUCUUCUAGAAGCCAGCAAGACUGGAGACGGCGAGGAUAAAAAUAUCCCUUUUGAGCUUGAAUGGCAGGCUAAACGUCUUUAUUCGCCCACUCCUGCGCUCAUUUUGGAUGAAAUACCUAAUUGAUCUACUCUCCUGCCCGUCUUUCCCUUUUGUUUGCAGGAGAUAAAGAGGAAAGUGAUACCAAGUACUCAUAUGCACACGGGCAACACUGAGGCGUGGUCAACGCAGAUGCUGGGGCAAAACACCACUUGGCAUGAUGUCAAGAAAAUCCAGAUGCAAAAUCAGAAGGAUCAGAUGGGUGUGGAAGAGACGUGGAUCAAGGGUGCAUGGAGGUGGGUAUGGAUGAUUGGAGAGUUGAAAGUGCCAUACAAAUGAAAACC